rnacentral:misc_RNA from 1 species
AUUUCCUUGCACGUGCACUCAACCUUUGCAAGAUCAACCCCAGGUAAAAAAUGCAAUACCUUAGUCUUAAGAUCAGCAGGCAAAGCCAUCAAGCAUGGCGUGGCAAACGCAAAUAAUUCAGUUGGCACAGUGAUACCAUUAGUGGCAGGCAAAUCUCAUCCGUCGGCGCUCUCCACAGAUCAUGAACUCCCUUCUCAUGCACUUCACUCAGAUAAAGUAAAGGCUCAAGCCCGUGCACAUACUACCCAUAAACUAUCACGAAAUUUGGCCAUCAAGGAGUCAUUCAGCACCACCACCUUCCGCUCGAUUUCACAGAGAUGCCUCUAGUACCGGUCACGCCCUAGCCCAUGAUUUAUCAUCGUAUACUAUUUCUUCAUUAGAUUGUUCGCUACAUCUACUGAUUGAGCGUAU